GGAGAAUUACUCAAGAGGCUGAAGAGGACGGUUUGCUAAAUCGUUAGGUCGGGUAACUGACGCGGGGGUUCGAAUCCCCCAUUCUCCGU
rnacentral:tRNA from 1 species